CAGCACUGAGCAUGGUGGGUUCCUCCAUGUUCUUGUUGGAAUGCUAAGCACAGGUGCUUAGUGAUUGCAUGAUCUAGCUGGGUGCAAAUGCCUCUGGAAAUUAGAGCUGUGGCUAUGACACCCUUAGAGCAAUUGAAAUGUUUUACGACUGUAUGGUUGUCAUGCUUGACCACAGGCUGAAUACUACGCUUCUCCACCUGGAUGCAUGUAACAUACAAACCACCAACACAGAAACACACAGGAAAAGGUAGAAGAACAGGAUUUAGACAGAGACAUCAUCAAUGAGAUGGCAAUAUGUGUUUAUUUAUGUUCCGCAUUUAAGAGCUUGUCUACACGGAGACUUUGAUUUAUACCCCAGCCUGCUGUGCACUAAGGCCUGGUUUACAUUGAAAUCGAUCUAAGUUACACAACUUCAGCCACGUGAAUAACAU